AGCUAUUCAGUUGGACUUUUCCUGAUUUUGGGCUUUAUACGCGUACUGAGCUGUUUCAUACGCGUAUUGCGCGUAUGACAGCAUCUGAUACGCGUAUUGCUCUGUCCCAUACGCGUAUUGCCUAGUCUCAUACGCGUAUUGCACGUAAGACAGCCUCUGAUACGCGGACUGCUAACUCCCAUACGCGUAUCACCAGAAGCUUGUCUUUUUGCUUGAUUUUCCACCCCUCUGGUCAUUUGCGUAUGCUAUGCGUACUGGGAGGGUCCAUACGCGUAUCAUGUAAGGCCAUACGCGUAUGGACAGCAGGUUCUCCAAGAAUUGAUUUUUUCUUCCGUUUUCUUGCUCUGGCUCAAUUUCGCAUCUGACGUUUGAUUCCAUGAGCUUCCAAACUAGUUUUUGACCUGCUAACAUACCCAAAAGUGUAAAAUAUCCUCAAGAAACUCAUAAGUAACAACACACUUUAUAUUAUAGAAUUGAGCUUAUAUCUAACUACAAAUGCUUCAGUUUACACAGUUUACCUGACUUAUUUACGGUUAAAUAGUGAAAUGUCUAGCAUAAAUGGUGACUGAUCACAACCCCAAACUUAGCUUGUUGCUUGUCCUCAAGUAACAUUUUAUUACCAUCAAAG
rnacentral:lncRNA from 1 species